rnacentral:lncRNA from 1 species
CCAACCCAGCAAGCAUGGACUUAUACAAGCGUGAUGAUCAAACAUGGAGGCAGAGACUUUGAUGGAAUUAAAUUGUGAGCUGGCAAAUACCACAGGCAGUGAGGGGCAGGGAAGAGCAGUGAGUAGCAUAGGACUGUUCACAGGUGAAUGUCACAGGUAUGAAUGCGGAGGAACCCAUCUUUCUGCUAAGGGGAGUCGGCACGCUGUCCCUGAAGGAAAGCAAUAAUAGAAGAGAAGAUGCCUUGCUCUGAGCCAGGUGACCAGGUGCUAGAGAGAGAUGCCCCUUUGAAAACAAGAGAACAAACAAACAAACAAAAUGGCUACAGAAGAGUGCGUGAAAACAGAGACGCCAGGGUGUGGGG